rnacentral:rRNA from 1 species
GAUAAACGCUGGCGGCGCACAUAAGACAUGCAAGUCGAACGGACUUAACCAUUAGUUUACUAUUGGAGCGGUUAGUGGCGGACUGGUGAGUAACACGUAAGCAACCUGCCUAUCAGAGGGGAACAACAGUUAGAAAUGACUGCUAAUACCGCAUAUGCCUAGGUAUCACAUGGUACAAUAGGGAAGGAGCAAUCCGCUAAUAGAUGGGCUUGCGUCUGAUUAGCUAGUUGGUGGGGUAACGGCCUACCAAGGCGACGAUCAGUAGCCGGACUGAGAGGUUGAACGGCCACAUUGGGACUGAGAUACGGCCCAG